GUCUUCAGAAAGCUCUCGAAGUGUAGAAAAUGAUUGGGACUGUACUCGAUUAAAUUAGUGGUCGAAUCGGUCAGAAUCACAUUGGGAAUAUGAAACUGUGCGCUGUGCGUGGCGAGGGAUUCAAGCUCGAUUUUCUGGCAAUCCAAGCAGCGGCCGGCAUAGGAGAGGUACCCUGGUGGUUCGCAGGCGAAUGGGGGAGGGAGGGGUGGUAGUGGCUGGCGAUGGGGAGGAGAGAGGAGAGAGGAGAGAGAAAAUGAGAGAGAGAGGGAGAGUGUUGGUUAGCAGGGGAAGAAGGGAAAGAAAAAGAAA
rnacentral:misc_RNA from 1 species